rnacentral:rRNA from 1 species
GGGUCAGUAGGUUGGUCGUGCCACCGGUACGUACUGGUCUCACUGAUUCCUCCUUCCUGAAGAACCGUUAUGCCAUUAAUGUGGUGUUGCGGGGAAACAGGACUGUUACUUUGAAAAAAUUAGAGUGUUUAAAGCAAGCUAACGCUUGAAUACAUUAGCAUGGAAUAAUGAAAUAGGACGAUCGAUCCUAUUUUGUUGGUUUCUAGGAUUGACGUA